GACGAACGCUGGCGGCGUGCCUAAUACAUGCAAGUCGAGCGCUGAAGCUCGGUACUUGUUCCAACUGGGUGUGCAGCGCACGGGUGUGUCACGCGUGGGGACUCCGCCCUUGAUCGGGGUACAACCUGUGGACACGAAUGCUAAUACCGUAUAAACACUUUAAACACAAGGUUUAAGUUUGAAAGAUUCUAUUGCUUCACUCUAAGAUGACCCCCCGUGGUAUUAGCUAGUUGGUGAGGUAAUGGCUCACCAAGGCGAUGAAGCAUAGCCGACCUGAGAGGGUGAUCGGCUGCAUUGGGACUGAGACACGGCGCAAACUCCUACGGGAGGCAGCAGUGGGGAAUCGUCGGCAAUGGACGAAAGUCUGAACGAGUAACGCCGCGUGAGUGAGGAAGGGUUUCGGAUCGUAAAGCUGUGUUGGUAGAGAAGAACGUUGGUGGGAGUGGAAAGCGCAUCAAGGGACGGUAACGACCAAGAAAGGGAGGGCGACCUACGU
rnacentral:rRNA from 1 species